CCGGCUACCAGCGAAAAUAUUGGAGGAAAUCAGGACGGUGUCAUGAAUAAAACAUUCAGACGUGUUCGAAGAGGCGCCUUGGAUAGAGGGUCAGCCGUCCAACAGCCGCAGGAGAAUAGAGGAGCACCCCAUCAGGAGAAGUGCGCCAAAUCGCUGCCGUUUGAUGGAAAAAGCUGCAGGGGCAAGAUAGGGAGAGAUUGGGUGCAGAUUUAAAGUCCCCUGAUGCAUAUCUGCUAGAGGGUAAUACCCAUUGUGGAUUACAUCAAUAUUGGAGCUAAACAUGUAAUCGUACACUAAGGCCACACUCCGGAUCCACGUGGAUGACCUACAGUCCCAUCAGAACAAAUUGCUUUAGCGGGAAAGGAGCUUCUUGGAAUAAUUCAUAGGGUCUGACCUUCAGGAUGCAUCGUGAUCAGAGCCGAAGGUAAUGACACCACUCUACUCCCCGGCUCCCGUAGAAGGAAAAUACCCACAGUGGUGAAAAGACCA